rnacentral:rRNA from 1 species
AUUGAACGCUGGCGGCGUGCCUAACACAUGCAAGUCGAGCGGUAACAGGUGUAGCAAUACAUGCUGACGAGCGGCGGACGGGUGAGUAACGCUUGGGAAUCUGCCUAUUAGUGGGGGACAACCCGGGGAAACUCGGGCUAAUACCGCAUACGCACUACGGUGGAAAGCCGGGGACCGCAAGGCCUGGCGCUAACAGAUGAGCCCAAGUCGGAUUAGCUAGUUGGUAGGGUAACGGCCACCAAGGCGACGAUCCGUAACUGGUCUGAGAGGACGACCAGUCACACCGGAACUGAGACACGGUCCGGACUCCUACGGGAGGCAGCAGUGGGGAAUAUUGGACAAUGGCGAAAGCCUGAUCCAGCGACGCCGCGUGGGUGAAGAAGGCCUGCGGGUUGUAAAGCCCUUUCAGUGGGGAAG